GGGGGUGUACUGGUUUCGACGGGUUGCGUGUGAUCGCGGGUGGCAUGUCGAGAUUGCCCGAUGAAUCUCGUAAAACAUUCAUCAUGGAUCUAAAAGUAGUUGACAACAAUUACUCAUACCGACUCGCAGCUUAAACUGACGAGUCCGUCCUCUCACUUGUUCGUCUGUCGACAGUGACCUGGGCGCCGACUUAGGCAGACUUAUCCGAAGCGCACGUCUGCGGCGUGGUUGGAGACAUUUCAGCAGAAUAGGAAAAUGCGGUUUUGCUGUUGAGCAUGGCAUCUUCCGAAACCCAAAUCAGCAGCUAAGCAUGUAGAGGCUCGACGACAUAUCUUCCCGGACCGGGGUUCGACUCCCCGCACCUCCACUU
rnacentral:tmRNA from 1 species